rnacentral:rRNA from 1 species
GACGAACGCUGGCGGCGUGCUUAACACAUGCAAGUCGAACGAUGAACUUGGAGCUUGCUCUGGGGGAUUAGUGGCGAACGGGUGAGUAACACGUGAGUAACCUGCCCUGGACUCUGGGAUAACUUCGAGAAAUCGGAGCUAAUACCGGAUAGGACCUUGCACCGCAUGGUGUGGGGUGGAAAGUUUUUGGGUUUGGGAUGGACUCGCGGCCUAUCGGCUUGUUGGUGAGGUAAUGGCUCACCAAGGCGUCGACGGGUAGCCGGCCUGAGAGGGUGACCGGCCACACUGGGACUGAGACACGGCCCAGACUCCUACGGGAGGCAGCAGUGGGGAAUAUUGCACAAUGGGCGCAAGCCUGAUGCAGCAACGCCGCGUGCGGGAUGACGGCCUUCGGGUUGUAAACCGCUUUUAGUAGGGAAGAAGCCUUCGGGUGACGGUACCUGCAGAAAAAGGACCGGCUAACUACGUGCCAGCCGCCGCGGUAACAC